GGGGAUCUUGCUGGAGAUCCCUGCAUGCCUGGGUCCUUCUGAAGCCCCAGUAUGGAACUAUGGGAGAUGCAAGAAGUGAAACCGACUAACGCAGUGAUAAAAACAAAUGGAAAUGCGAAAGUCAAACACACAUCUUAAAUGGCAGUGCUUUCCUGCCCAAGGCUGCUGCAGCAUGGAGUACAUACACCCAAACCCACAUAUCUUAGGACCUGAUGACCAGCGAUUCUUACUGCUUCUCUCCUAACUUGAUUUCCUGACCUGCCUGUUUUGUAUCUUCAGUUCAUAAAGCUCUUAGGGCCAGUAAGCAGCCAGCCAGGCAAAAUUGUCAUGCAAUCUAUAAAUAAGCUCUAUACACCUUAUAUAACAUCCACACAGAUUUUUCUGGAGCUGCUUCUGAAACAAUAAGAUUGGCAUACAUUUUUUUUAUCUUUUACUGAGUGGUUGGGCGGAACUCAGCUGCCAAUUUUGCUUGACAGGGAUGAUAGAAGCCUACCUACUUCUUCAGACUGUAAUUUGCUCAAUUCCAGCAUACUUUUCCAAAUAAAUGCUUACUUC